rnacentral:rRNA from 1 species
UCUGACGAAAAUAGCGAGAGUUACACACAUUAUUCCAUAACGAACUCAGAAGUGAAACAUCUUAGCGACGAUGGUAGUGUUGGGUCUCCCAAUGUUAGAUUAGGUCAUCUUCAGGC